rnacentral:rRNA from 1 species
UACGUAGGGGGCAAGCGUUGUCCGGAUUUAUUGGGCGUAAAGAGCGUGUAGGCGGCUUGGUAGGUCCGCUGUGAAAACUCGAGGCUCAACCUCGAGAUGUCGGCGGAAACCACUUGGCUAGAGUCCGGAAGAGGAGAGUGGAAUUCCCGGUGUAGCGGUGAAAUGCGCAGAUAUCAGGAGGAACACCGGUGGCGAAGGCGGGUCUCUGGACAGUUCCUGACGCUGAGGCACGAAGGCCAGGGGAGCAAACGGG